rnacentral:lncRNA from 1 species
GGCCUCCUCUAAUUCAACACCAUUAUCUUAUUCAUAUCAUUACUAAUAUGUUAUUGAGAUGUUAUUGACAUGUGAUUCACUUGAUUUUCAUUCGUUUUUUAACUUAUACCCAAGUAAAAAUUAACAUGCAAUUGAAGCACAAAGAAAAGAUACCAAAUCCAACAACAUUGAUGGUACAAAUUGGGGAAAACCGUUACUCU